rnacentral:rRNA from 1 species
GACAGGAGGGUGCAAACGUUGUUCGGAAUUACGUGGCGUAAAGCGCGUGUAGGCAGCUUGGAAGUCGGAUGUGAAAGCCCUGGGCUUAAACCCAGGAAGGUGCACUCCGAAACUUCCGAGCUUGAGUUCUGGGAGAGGGAAGCGGAAUUCUCGGUGUAGAGGUGAAAUUCGUAGAUAUCAGGAAGGACACCGGUGGCGAAGGCGGAUCUCUGGGGCCGAAUUACUGACGCUGGAGGAGCGAAAGCGUGGGGAGGCGAACAGGA